CUUCAUGAGCCACUUGUAAAGUGUCCCAUAUUUCCUUUGUAGUAGUACAGCUUUGAAUCCUACUGUACUCAUCUAGACCCACUCCACACACAAGCCAUUUCUUGGACUUGGUAUUCUUCUCCCAUUUCUUCAAGUCUUUAGCAGUACAGUCAGCUCUUAUCUUUGGUACAUCCACUCCUUCAGCAUUCUUCUUUGUAGUUGCCAGAGGACCAUCAGUGACUAUGUCCCAUAGUUCAUCGUCUUCUUCUAUGAUGUGAUCUCUCAUCCUAUUCUUCCACUAAAGAUAGUACUGGCAAUCAAAGAGUGGAGGCCUAGCAGUAGAUUGCCCUUCCUAAUUUUCAGGUAGUGCACACAUUUUGAUCUUUUCCUAAAGUGUUAGCCUCUUCAAGGAUAACCCGCUCAGAUACCAAUUGAUAUUUUAUGCGUCAGUAUCACACAAGAGGAGGGGGUAAUUUGUGUGAUAUCCAAUUUUCACUUGUCUGAACUAUAGAAGAAC
rnacentral:lncRNA from 1 species